AAGAGAAGAAGUUCAGACACUCAGGUGAGAGAGAAGAAGUCAGGACACCAGGUGAAGGGGAGCAAGAAGUACAGACACUUCAGGUGAGAGGAGAGAAGUACAGACAUCAGGUGAGAGGAGAACAAGUACAGACACUCAGGUGAGAGGAGAAGAAGUUACAGACACACAGGUGAGAGGAGAAGAAGUUACAGACACACAGGUUGAGAGGAGGAAGAAGUUACAGACACUCAGGUGAGAGGAGAAGAAGUACAGACACAGCAGGUGAGAGAGAAGAAGACAGAACACACAGGUGAAGGAAGGAGAAUACAGGAACACAGGUGAGAGGA
rnacentral:lncRNA from 1 species